rnacentral:misc_RNA from 1 species
GCGAGAUAGAUUCAAUUCACUGUUAACACUUUUGUUCAAUCAGUCGACGCUGCAUUUUGGGCAAAUUAUUGCAUUCAUAAACGAAGAAAUUUGUUAAUUUGCAACAAAGAAGGCGGCAGGGCAUCAAAGGGCGAUGGAUUUGGAUCAGUGGAUUACGACGGUGAAAGAGGGGCAGCAUUUGGCGGAGGACGAGCUUCAGCUCCUUUGUGAAUAUGUUAAGGAAAUCCUGAUAGAGGAGUCAAAUGUGCAGCCCGUCAAUAGUCCAGUUACUGUUUGUGGAGACAUCCAUGGCCAGUUUCAUGAUCUAAUG